GACGAACGCUGGCGGCGUGCUUAACACAUGCAAGUCGAACGGUGAAGCGCCUUCCUUUUUGGUGGGUGUGGAUGAGUGGCGAACGGGUGAGUAACACGUGAGUAACCUGCCCCCUUCUUCUGGAUAACCGCAUGAAAGUGUGGCUAAUACGGGAUAUUCUGGGUCUGUCGCAUGAUGGGUCUGGGAAAGAUAUUGUUUCGGUGGGGGAUGGGCUCGCGGCCUAUCAGCUUGUUGGUGGGGUGAGGGCCUACCAAGGCGGUGCCGGGUAGCCGGCCUGAGAGGGUGGACGGUCCCACUGGGCCUGGGCCCCGGCCCGGACUCCUCCGGGGGCCAGCAUUGGGGAAUAUUGCACAAUGGGCGCAAGCCUGAUGCGGCGCCGCCGCGUGAGGGAUGGAGGCCUUCGGGUUGUGAACCUCUUUCGCCAGUGAAGCAGGCCUGCCUCGUUUGUGGGUGUGUUGACGGUAGCUGGAUAAGAAGCGCCGGCUAACUACGUG
rnacentral:rRNA from 1 species